UGGUGCCCAACAUUAGGCCCAAGAAUGGAGGAAUUAGUGAGGUAUGCUGUUCGUGGGCCCAAAAAUAGAAAACGGAAAAGAAAAUAGAGGAUCGACAUGGGAGCCUGCCAUGCCGCUGAACCUCAGUAAGUGAACGCGAUUAUGGGACAAGAAAUUAGCCAGCAUGGGACUUUUGUUGAAAGUUUAGAAAAGCUUUAAAGACACAAAGGGUAAGGAAAAUAAUUUAGCAAUUGUGUCCAAUAGGACAA
rfam:Cavia porcellus supercont2_15 genomic scaffold, whole genome shotgun sequence.